CUACGGGCCGCAGCAGUGGGGAAUAUUGCACAAUGGGCGCAAGCCUGAUGCAGCCAUGCCGCGUGUAUGAAGAAGGCCUUCGGGUUGUAAAGUACUUUCAGCGGGGAGGAAGGGAGUAAAGUUAAUACCUUUGCUCACUGACGUUACCCGCAGAAGAAGCACCGGCUAAAUCCGUGCCAGCAGCCGCGGUAAUACGGAGGGUGCAAGCGUUAAUCGGAAUUAAUGGGCGUAAAGCGCACGCAGGCGGUUUGUUAAGUCAGAUGUGAAAUCCCCGGGCUCAACCUGGGAACUGCAUCUGAUACUGGCAAGCUUGAGUCUCGUAGAGGGGGGUAGAAUUCCAGGUGUAGCGGUGAAAUGCGUAGAGAUCUGGAGGAAUACCGGUGGCGAAGGCGGCCCCCUGGACGAAGACUGACGCUCAGGUGCGAAAGCGUGGGGAGCAAACAGGAUUAGAUACCCCAGUAGUC
rnacentral:rRNA from 1 species